GAAGGAGUUAUGUUGUGAUGGAAGACCUGUAUCAGAGAAGAUAGUGCCGUUGGAGACCAAUGCCACUUUGUACUGGAUGCCAGUGGAAUAUAACUACGUUACGUGAAGAGUUACUGCACAUAUAUGUCCUCAAGGAAGACAGGGCAGAAAAGUAAGGCAGCCAAUUAGCCCCACUACUGCUACUUACACUGACUGAGGGGUUGCUGAUGAUCUGCAUGAGACUAAGAGCUGGCACUGAUGGUCAAAUGCAACCAUGACAACAAGGGACACAGACUCCAAUUGCAUGGUUCACUGAGGACGAG